AGCUAGAUUUUGACGUAAUUUCUUCUGAUGUAGCUAGCAGGUGGCGGAGGUGUAUUUGAAUGUCAGCAGAACCCUGACAGCGAGUAGGAUGUCCUCCGUCUGCUAGUCUUCUUUGAUCCUUGAAUUCUGUGGAGCUCAAAUAGACAACAAAGUUUGUGGAACUGAUUAGGUGUUAGCAUAAAUAUCUAGCCUUUAUCAUGUUGAGCCUCCUCGAUAAAUAUUAUUUAUUUAGCAGGAUCAUGCACUUAUUAUUUUUAACAUUUUUAUUAUAAGAUGAAAACAUAUUUAUUUUAUGCCACCAUAGUUAAUGUACCUAUGGGUUUUAUGCCAUGAGCAUACUCACAUGGGGCUUACUAUUUUUUAACAUUUUUAUUUUCCUUUCGAGAUGAUAUGAACCUGAUUAACUAAGCAAACUAUUGAAAGGAAAAGGAUAACUAGCAAGUUUACCUCUUGGCAAGGCGUUCGGUGUUUUUAAGUCCUCCGAAUGGGACUCUCCGUUUUCUCAGUCGUCCUGGGAUUCGCUGGAUGGUGUAGUUGGUGGUUCCGGCGGCGCCUCUUCUUCGUGUAUAACUAUCUUCUCUCUCCAUACCAGACUCGGUGCUACGGUCUCCUCAGGACAGUUCUGUUCAAGCUGUAUGUCUUCAGACCUUAUCACUUCUCCUUUGUAAUCUACCCAUCCGUCCUUGAUGAUUUGCCUCCUCUGGUUUCGGUUGUGUCGCCUUCUUCUUGUCUGACCUGCUUAGAGUCUUCAACUAUAUAGUUAAGGUGAGUAAAAUAGCGGCGUACCUUCUCAGAUGGGAAGUGCAUGUGGACUUCUCCAAUUCCAAUAUAGAUGAUGGCUUUGAUAGUGUUGAGGAACGGUCUUCCAAAGAUGAUGGGUGGAUCGUACUCGUUUUCUCCUAUGUCAAUGACCUGAAAAUCAUCUAGAGCUGAAUGUAUGUUGGUUAUGGUUCCAUGCAGGAGCUGAUAAGUGACUGCGGCCAUUAUGUUGACGUAGAUCCGGUGUCGUAGAGUGUCUUCUUAAAAGAGUAUCCAUUGAUUGUGCACUCGAUGCUUGGAACACCAGGGUCGUCCUUCUUGAUCAGGAAAGGCGACUUGAGUCGAUGAUGUUGACCUCUUCCGAUAAGGAUCCAAUGUUUUAAGUCUUCUGGACAAGACUUCUCACCGUCUUCAUCCUUUAGGUGCAUCAUUUGAUUAGGUGUGGACCUUGACGUCUGCACUUCUUGAUACGGUGUCACCCAUGUUCUUCGUUUGCCUAGUAGUUCAAAGUGAAGUGUUGGCAAUAUCCUGCUUAGUGUGUUUGUGCUCGUAGAUCCAGAUCCUUCACUUGGUGUAGUCUGGGAGUUGUAAAACUCCUCCAUGUUUUGCUUGAAGUGUACCUGUUCAUAGAGACAAGGCAGAGAUCAAGUGCAUGGGCCCUGUUGGUGAAAAACACAAACAAAACCAAAAGUGUAUUUGUUCUUCUUUAACCUUAAGCAUAGUGAGCAAGACAAAGUUGAUGGAUCAUGAGUAUAGCAUGUGUCAGAUCAGAUGGCUCAACCUAAUGGAAAGAUAAUCUAUCUAUAUUUAUGUUUUGUUUAUAUCUUCCAAAUAUUGAAUGUGCAACAUUUUAGCUUAUAUGAUUAGGAGUGUGGGAUCACGAAGGUAGUACUAAGAACAAAGAUUAAAGGACUAAACAUGUUGAAUUAAUUGGGUUGGUUAAUUUGAAGUUACAAAUCAUACAUGUUUGUCUCUUUAUUUUAUGUGAACGCCAGAAUCAAGGAGAAACUUAUAAAAGCAAUAGUCAAGUACCUUAAGAUGUUACCUUAGUUGAAGAGUGAUGGUAUAGUAUCACUUUGUGGAAGCUUUCCUUUCUUAGCGGUUGUGCACUGUGUUUGUGGCAUUCUUUGUCUCGUUCCAUGAAUCAUCUCUUUAUGAUGAAUGAGCUAUGUCCUUCUUGUGCAAAUUGUUAAACUUCAUGUGUCUCCUUUAUCUCCAAUGUGAGUUUGUAUCUCAAGACUUCCCUGGUUGAUAUUGAAAGUUUUCCUACAGGGGUUAGUCCAACAAAAUAUCCAAUAUCUACUAUAGCAUACUAUUGGCUCAAAAAUCAACCUAGACACCAUGUCUAAUUUGAUUUAGGAGGGCAUUUUAACCUAAGAACCAUGCUUAAUUGAAAAAUCCUUUGGAAAUAAGAUCAUCAUUCCUAAACUAAGCACCAUGCUUGAUUUAAGAGAUAAAUGAAACUACUCCAAACCUAGACAUAUACUAAAGCAAAUAAAGGUGGCAUGAGAGCAUUUAUAGAGAUCUACUCAAGUGAAGGUGAAGUAGUGUAAUUAGUAUUUAACAAAUUGAGCAUGUCUCAAAGGUAAGGACAACCAACAUAGCAACAUGGCAAAUGAUGUUUUUAUGUAAAGUACUCCCACAAGCUUGAAUUUUGCAAAAUUCAAGAUUGGAUGAAUUUAAUCCAAUGUUGUGUGAUGGUUGGUUGGAGAUACGUUGUGCUUGUCAUUCAUCCAAUCUUCUUGCUCCAAUCGUGGAAAGGUUAGUGACAAGAGUACCCGAAGGAAUAUUUCUACAAUUAUCUUUAUAUGCUCAAUACAUAAGGCAAUGUUGCAAAUAAUUAGAAGUUCAUGUUACAAUCUGAUAAGUGCUUGUUUUAGGAUACUAAGCUCGUCCUUGGGAAACCAUCAAUCAACUCAACGAGAUCUGCAAUAUUUAUUAUAGACAUAUGCAUCGACAACCACCCCUUUAAAGUUUUUAUAAAUAGAAAGGAAGAGAGGGUUGGAGAUCUCAAAUGUGGUGAGGAUGGAGAGACCAAUUGAUUGGUGAGAUGUUUUAUGUGAGCAAGGACUUGGUGAGAUAUUUAUGAAAUAACUUCCAUGCUCGCUGUUGUUUCUCUCAUUCUCAAACUCCAAGGAUGAAUCUUCAUGAAUGUUUAAAAUUCCUCUAGGAUUGUCUCUCAAGUUUGUUUUAUCUAUCCAUUCAAUGGUGAUAGCACAUGGAUUUUUAAUGCCUUCUAGCCAUUGAUGUUGCUUUUCUCGAUCCUCCUUGUGGUCUUGGUGACUCUUAUGAAUGGGAUUUCUAGAGAGAUUCAUAGGAUCAUCAGGAGGUUCAAGAGAAAGAGAAGAGUAGAAAUUAUUAAGCUCAAGGAUGGGUUGGAUAGCCGAAUCAUGGGAUUGAAAUGUUUGGAAAUUGGCUAUGGAAACUUCCUUUCCUUGUUUGGGAGAUGAUUCCUUCUCUAUCUCUAAGAUUUUUCUAUGAAGACUAGUACAAGAAGGAUGUCCACGAAUGAAGAUAUACCUUGCUUUACUAACAGAUAAAGAAAGAAAAACUCUAUUGAAGGGUAUAUGAUUAAGACCAAUGUGAAAAUAUCGAGAAAAAACAUGGUCUUGUAGGGCUAGGUUUAAACCAGAAUUUAUAGAAAGAUUAACAGAUUCCCUAGGUGUAGAAAAGGGUUGGUUUUGACCUAUUGCAGUCAACUCCGGACACAGAUCAUAAUUAGGGGCAGGACUUGUUGACUCCCAUGGUCUAUGGCUGGUCUCCGAAGGUGCAAAGAAUUCAAUAAUAGGUAUGGAAUUUAAGUUAUCCAUAAAGUUAAAAAUAAAAAGAUAAAAGAAUAAAAGUAUAAAAGUAUAAUACAAGAUAAUAGCAAGACUCAAAGUUAUCUCAGCAAACCGUCUUUCUCCCCGGCAACGGCGCCAGAAAUGCUUGUUGAUAUUUGGUAACGCAAUAAGGAAAUGAUCCGCAAGCGCACGGAUAUCGGUGAGCAUUUCACCCAGGAGGUUUUCUAGAGUAUCGUAUUUAUAUUUUUACCACUGGGAGAAAGGGUGCAUCUGACUAACCAAAUCUAUUGCUACUAUCCCUUUAGGCUACAAAGAAUGUUUCUCGCUGUGAGUGAUGUAUAGAGAAGACUGCAACCGUAGUCUCAUUCUAACCUUGGUAAGGAUGAUCUAUUGUUCUAUUGGGGAAGCUUACGGAAUCUAGACACCACAAAGGAUGUUCGACCCGCACCUAUAAACCCUACCCGUCCUGCUAACAAGAUGUGGGAUACAAAGGUAACUCGGAAAUGUCACGUUCCUCGCUACUACCACGGUCCAGCUAGUCAGGGGAUAUCUAUGAGUACCCUAGCCUAAACACCACGUUUAUGCUAGCAAUGAUUACUCUAAUACUCAACCGAAAGAGGAUUAAAGUAAACUCAUAAACCAAACAACAAUAAAACAAGAACUUACUAGAAUUAGAAGUCGAAUUACUAAAGAAUCUUAGGAGCAAGCCUCGGGUUAGAAGACUUGAUCCCGCAGGUACAACCUCAGAGUAGACACCGACAGGCCGGCCUUCCUCCGAUCUACACCUCCACUCUAUCUCUCUCAAUCUAGUAGAAACUAGAAGAUCUAAUUCUACUCACAUUGGAUGCUAAGCCUAAAAUAAAUUUUAUUUAGAGGAGAGGUAUUCCUUCGAGGGCUCCUCUCAACUCUAUGAAAAACUUGUCUCCUCCAGGGGCCAGGGGGUCUGGUUUUAUAGUCCCCUCAAGUGAACCUGGGCCAUCAGAUCAAACCGACAUUGAUUGGACGGUUAUCCUUGAUCCUUUAGGUCGGUGGAGAGUAAUCCUCGAAGAGAGUCCUGUUUGGACUCCAAGUUUGGGCGGGCGCCCUGCCUCUAGGCCCUUUCGGCCUCCGCUUCCUUCCCGUGGCUUCUGGAGUCUUCUAGAUUGUAACACCCUCGGUGUUAAGCAUGCACUUAGUCUUAUCAAAGUCAUGCAUAAGCAUUCCCAUCAAGCAUAAGCAUCAUGAGCAUGUCAUUCUUUUCAAAAUAUGAUUUUAUGUGCUUCAUUUCAUGAGUUUUAAAUAUGCUAAAACUAUGAUACUUGCUUCUAAAAUUUGUGAAAUAUUCAAACUAGGUUGAUUUAUGUGUAAGAAGAAUUUAGAGUAUUUUUGUGUAAUUUUUGGAGCUAUAGAAUUUGAGAAAUGGAAUUUAUACAAAAUAUCCAAAAAGAAUUUAUUUAAAACCUAGAACUAAGUUUUGAUUUGUAAUUCAAAUUCUAUUUAGAAUUUUGUCUCGCUUAUUAAAGCAAAGUUGUAGAGUUUUUAGCUUGGAACAACUUUGCCUUUCGGAGAAAGUGGUGAAAAUGAUUUGAAAAUAGCCAAAAUGAAUUGAGAACAGAAUUUGAGAAAAGAAAUUCAAAAAAAAUAUAUAGAAAAGGGAAAAGGGGGCGCUAGCAGGCCGCGGCCUCACUUCUGGCCCGCUGGCCGAAGCCGGCCCGGCCCGCCCGCGCCUUCCCCUUCCCCUUCCCCGCGCUCGCGCCCGCGUCCGCGCGCGGACGGCCGCUCGGUGCCGCCGUGGCGCGCCGGCAGAGCCUGGCCGCCGCGUGGCGAGCAUGCGGCAGCGAGGACGCGUCCCGGUCGGCCACCAGAAGCGCUCGGCUGCACCCGCCUCUGCCCCCUCUUCCAUUCGCGCCCCUCGGCCCUCGCUCUCUCGCUCUCUCGCCCUCGCUCUGCACGCGCAGAGCGCCGCCGUCGCCAUUGGAGCCCGAGCUCCGCCUCGGCCGUUCCUCCCCCGUGCGUGCGCCAUUCUGCGAUUAGUUCUCCCCCGAGCUCCGCCCUCGCUCCGCCGUUGCGGAACACCCGUCCGAGCGCUCGGUAGGGCACGGUGAGCCCCCGGUCGCUCUCGUUUCCUUCUCCAGCGAGAGCUCCGCCGCCGCGCACGUGAUCCGCGCGUCUCCAUGCCUUCCGGUGCUGCGUAGUUGGCGCACUGUGCUCGCCUUGGCACCGCGAUGCUCACGAGCCACUCCAGCCACGCUCUACUGGGCCAGCGUCCCGUGCCGACGGUGAGCAGCGCCGCCGCUCCGCCAUGGCCGGUGGCGAGCCUGCUCUGGUCCGUUUUAGGCCACGCAAAUGGGUGCGCUAGGUCCGCCGUGAGCCGUAGAGCGUGUAGAGCCGCUUGAUUCGCCGAAAGGGGUCGCCGACGGUGAGCUCCGGCCUCCCGUCUGCGUCCUGACCAGUGGGCCCGGCUGGCAGGCGGGUCCGCUCGUCAGCGACCGCGGGUGCACUGCACCGGGUGCACCUAGCCGUCUCGGGGUGGAUGACAGGUGGGGUCAUCUGACUCGCGUGUCCCGCCUGUCAGUGACUCCGAGGGUUUGAAUCCGAGUGCGCUUAGCGUUUUAGGUUGUUUUCCGUUUUAAAAGUUUUUCUAGAAAAUGGGUUAUGUAUUCAAAAAUCCAUAUCUUGAGGAAUAUAGCUCCAAAAAUUGUGAAAUAAAUUUUGGUGUGUUCCCUAUUUCCAGAUCUAUAGCCUAGUAUGUCUGCAUGUCAUGUUUGAGUAACUUUUCUGUAUGAAAAUAUUUAAUCCAUGUUUUUGCUAAACUUGGAAAAUGCAUAGUAAAUAAAAUAUGGCUCAGAAAAAUGUGAAAUUUGUUUUGUUGGCUCUGCAUGUGUGUUUACUCACUGGGAAAAUAUUGUUACAUAUUAUUUGGUGUAUAAAUGAAUUUAUGGUAAUUUAAAUGCUUGCAUGGCAGUGAUUUAUGAUUUUUAAUAAUUAAUUGGGUCAUGCAAUAAAUCUGGAAAAUUUUGUGGGUAUUUCUUAUGAUAUUAGACAAAUGGUAAAAAUAUGAAAUCUGUUGUUUGACAUUUAUAUCAUUUGGAGUAAUUAUACUUACUUUAUUAAUUAAUCUUGUUAUUUUUGUGGCUCAAAAUAAGUAUCCAAAAAUUAUGAAUGGUUGUGUAUAUAGGUUGAAUGGAAUAAGUUGGGUUUGGUGUAUCUUUGAAGCAUCAUGUGGGUUGCUGGUUGCAUUUGAAAAAUAAUUGUAGAAGAGAAUGCAAUAGAUGUUUGAUUCAGUUGAUUGCUCUUGGAGGUUGUUGACUACCUUGUAAUGAGCAUGACCAAGCGUAUCACUUAUGCAUCAUGUCAUGACUCCUUUAGUACCUUCUCAUACAAGCAUCCACUCGGGCACCUCGCACUCCACUCAUAAGCACACAUGCAUCAUACAGGCUCGCAGGAGAACGAAGUGGGACCCGAGGAGCCAGAGGAGAGUCAGGAGCAGGAACCUCCGGAAGCACAGGAACCCGGAGAGGAACUGCAGGAGUGUCCAGAUCACCGACCCAGCACGUUUGAGAAAGGCAAGCCCCGGAGCAUUCUAAGUCUCCCUAUUCUCGCUAACUUAUACAAAGCACUAUACUUGUUCUACUAUAUUGCAUUUAAGUGAUAGGAAUUGCUCGAUACCGUUGAUGCAUAUGUACUUCUUGUUAUCCUUACUCGUUCACCUACCUUGUCCUAUGUAGAUAGGCACGGAGUCUAUGCUUAGCUUGCUUAGUCCGGUAGAAGUCGGGUGAUUCCCUGUCACCUGCGAGAUAUAGGUGGAUACCUGCUUGAUUAAGCAGUAGUUGCUUGGGGAAAGGAAUAACCAAGUGUGGAAUGUAAUUGGAGACCGGGCAGGGUCUUAUGGUGGGUUGACCGUAGUGCCCCUGCCUGUGUCGAUUAAGGACCGAUCGUUGACGGCCCUCUUGUCAUGUUUAACGCAUGCCCCACAUUUAGCUGGAAGGAUAAGUCAUUCUGACCGCGAAGCCUGCGCACUAUCCGGGCCGGGAAUCGGCCCGAUGUACGCGCUGUAUUGGUGAUGGUUGAGGAGAACGACGAGGGCGCGGCGCGCAACCUUGGUAUACCUUGGAUACCUCGGUCGCCGGAACGGUCCUCGGGUACGGGCGGUGCCUGUCGAACCCGCGAAUUGGUCCUGGAUAGUGCAAUACGGUGAUCUGUAGCUCACUUGAUCAGUGAGUGUGGUUUGUGUGGGGAAUAAACUCGCCAGCUGGUUAGAAAUCGAUUCAAAUCGCCAUCGCUCCUGGAUAGUGAGCACUUGACAUGAGCCCUGUCCUCGUAGUAAGGACUAUGGAACACUUGGGUUAUAAUGAUGAAUGGUUUUAAGAAAUGCUAUGAUGAGGUACUAUCAUAGUCUUAUACUUGCUUGUAAUAGUGCAGGUGCAAACCUAGAUGAUAGGUAAUGAUACUUUCAACUUGAGCAAAUUAAAAGAAGAAAGACUUAUGUAGGUUAUGAUAGUGAAAUACUGCGGUUUUGCAAAAUGGUUGUCAGCUACCCCACUAUAUAGCCUUCAUGAUCCUUGAUGAGUCUUUAUUUUAAGUUUAUGACGGGUAAGUCUAGCUGAGUACCUUCUCGUACUCUGGGUUCUACUCCCAUGUUGUUUUGUAGAUGGUCAAAUGUAUUAUGGUUAUUGCAUCCUCUGUCUGUACCCAGCCAUGGGUGAUGACUAGACCAAGGGCGAUGGUCACUCCAUCUUCUCUUUUGCUUUUGUGACAAUGACCGAACUAUGGCACUGUAUCAGACUAAGUGUGUGUGUUGUAUUUUCGAAUUAUGAAGCUUCCGCUACUUGAAGAACUUGGUAUUGUAAUAACUUUAAGUACUCCGAUGUAUUUUAUAAAUGUUGUAAUCUGGAUGUAUUGUGGAUGGCGACCGCUAAACUUAUUACGAUCUUGGCUGUUGUACGAUGUGUGGUUUGAAAUCCUUCGAGAUUUCACGGACUACCGGGAUUAUAUGGGCUUAAGCCUGAUGGUUUGACUAUGCAAAUGGUCACUGUUAGGCUUAAUCUCUUAUAAUUUGGUCGGUUCUGUUACAGCUGGCAUCGGAGCAAGGUUUAGCGAGUUACUGUUCAUAAGUACGUUCUAAACAAAAUCUAAACCGGUCUAAUGAAGGAUUUUAGUAAUUAAUAAAAAUCAAGGUGUUAAACUAAUUUUUGGAAAACUAUCUAGUGUGCCAUGGUCAUAUCCUUUAUGCCCAGUUAAGGACUCUAAGGUGGCUAGUUAAGUACUGACUUGGGGGUGAAUGCAUCAUAUUUUUGUUUCAUCGCUCAUACGGCGUGCAAUAGUAUGAGUGCCAUUCAUUUGAGUGGUAAUGUAUGGAUCCAUUUUUCCUCUACGCCACGGUAAGUGGGAGCUGUGAGAGCAUGAUCGGAUACACUGCCGGUCUAGGGGAGUGUUGCUAGGUAUUGUGUCAUGCACACAUGUUGGUGUGUCUUGGGAACAGUACCGCAUGUUGCGAAUUCCGUCCUGAGAGGCGAUGCCGUCAAUAGGGCGAUGAUGUGGGUAGUGACACGUCACAUGCAUGGACGGGUGUUUGUGUAUGUGAAGUGCAUAGUUAAAAAUUCUUGUUCUGCACGAUCAUACUGUGGGUGGGCUGAAAUGAGUUUUCUGCAGGUACACUAACCACGUUCUCGCUUAGAACGCUAGUUACGUUAUGAGAGAACGUUGUGUGCCACCGCAUAUACCGCUUAGUGUUAACCUUUGUUUCUAAGUUCGUGAGAUCGUAAGUUCGUGCAUGCGUCAUGUUCAUUUCAUAUCAUUGCUUACUUUCCCCCUUAAUUUAAUCUGUCCCAAUUCUAAAUAAAAUAAUUAAAGUUAAUCCUCGCUCUUACCCACAAUAUUCCAUUUGCAGCAGAUGGCACGCACUAGGCUCACCGCUCGCAAGUCCACUGGUGGGCGGGCCCCUCGCCAUCCGUUGGCAGCUAGGAGCUCGCGACAUAAGAGCAAGUUCCUAGAGUAGUUUGGGAUGCCCACUUUGCUUUAUAGGGUGCUCAGUUCGAUGGGGUAUCCCGAAGAAAGGGAGCCUCGCUACUAUUGGGAUAAGGAGCCGCUUGGUGACGAGACCUUGGUGGGGAUUGAGGCAGUUGUCCCUACCAGUGGAGGAGACCCUGCUUGGGGCGGUUGGGUGUACGAGUCCCGAGGUGUCACGCCUUUCCACGGUGCCAGCAGGGCAGCUUUCGUAGUUCUGAGGGACCUCAUGGAGAGGUUUCCCCAGGAGCUGGCCCACGCCUUCGCGGGGGUGUUUCCCCGGGGUGACCCCUACACUUCGGUGUGGGAUCAGUCCGAGGUGAAUGCUCUAGAGAGGAGUGCGGAUGAGGACCAGCACAGUGACAGUGCAGCUAUGAGUGCCAUGUACGCGUUGAUGAAGACCUAUGGAGGCCUAGAGCGUUGUUUGGGUCGCUUGUCCGGGUCUCUUCUCACCGUCCAGGAUGAGAAGCAUCAGUUGCAGCGUGAGUUCGACUCUGAGGUUGAGAGGCUAUAGGCAGAGUUGGCCCGUGUGACCAGAGAGAGACUAGGCAGUCCAGAAGAAUAGUGAGCUGAGUCAGGAUCUGCUUGCAGUACGGGAGCAGAAGGACAGGGUGACUACUGCUCACAGGAACAGCGAGCGCAUGCUAGUCCAUGUGCUUGGACAGAGGAAUGAAGCCUGGCACGAGGAGGACACUUUGAGGGCCCGACAGCUGGAGCUAGAGCAACAGCUAGCUAAUGCUGAGGAGUACAAUGAGAACUUGCAUGAGGAGAUCCACCAGCUGCAUAACCAGCUCCACCCUCACCACCUGCCUGGAGCAGCGGAGCUAGACUCUGGAGACGAGAUGGACGCGGAUCCCGAGAUAGGAGCAGCUGCUAGUGGAGAUGAGGAUGAGGAUGGCUCCGGCAUGGACAGUGACCAUAGCGAGCAGAUGCUAGGGCUCUAGAGCUAGUCCUUCUUCUUAUGUUGUUGUAUGUUGCAUGGCAUGUCGUGUACUUUUGGAUCUGGGCUAUGUAAGACUUUAUGAGUUAAUGCUGAAAGUCCAGUGUAUGUAUGCUGGCAAGUUGGAUGUACGCGAACCUUGUUGCGUGAAUGUUGAGUAAUCUGUUAGUGAUGUUGUGCGUAGAUGAUGAAUUGUUGUGCCUCUGUUUAUUGUGCGAAUUUAUUCCCUCAGUAAAUUCAGUACGGCAUGAUUCUACACAUUUCUACCGAUUGAUGGCAACUCCUAACGAUUGCUUAUCAUUGGCGUAUGCAGAUGGUGCAAACACGUGGCGGGGGUAACAGCAAUCCGGGUCUUGGAGCAGGUACAUCCGGAGGUGGGGCUCAACGGAAUGAGGACAGAGCACCAACACCGCCCCCACCACCGCCUCCUCCGUACACUGCGGACGUGUUUUUCGCGCAGUUUCUGGGGAGCCAACGCAACAUGGAACAGAUGCAACGCAACAUGGAAGAGGCUCUGCGCAACAUAGCUGACAACACCUGUCGUGGGGAUAACCAGGGCGGCCGUGAAGUCAACCAGUACAGUUCGUUCAAGGACAUCAUGGAUACCAAGCCACCAAUCUUCAAAGAGGCUUUGGAACCGCUCGAAGCAGAUGAGUGGAUCAACACCAUGGAGCAGAAGUUUCGUCUUCUCCAAAUGACAGAAGAACUCAAGGCUGAGUAUGCGGCACAUCAGUUGCAAGGACCUGCUGGGAUUUGGUGGUCCCAUCACCGUACCACCUACCCAGAGGGGACCCAAUUACCUGGAACCGCUUCACCACCGCUUUUCGGGGAAAUUAUAUUCCUCCGGGUGUGGUUGAAAUUAAGGUUGGGGAGUUCAUGAGGUUGUCCAAGGGAACGAAAUCGGUAAAGGAGUAUCUACAUGCUUUCAAUAAUCUCGCUCGCUAUGCCCCUGAGUUUGUAAACACGGAGGCUAAGAAGAUUGCUAGUUUCCAGAGGGGCUUGAAUCCAAAGAUGCUGAAGACCAUGGGUACAGGGGCCAGGGCUACCUUCAAUGCUUACAUCAGUGACUGUCUCACCCAGGAGAACAACAACAACAACUACAGUGCAUCCAAGUCACGUAAGAGGGCUUUUGAAGCCGGAUCAUCUCAGUCUAGGGCACCAGUGGUAGGGCGACACCAGUAUCGUCCUCCUGCCCCAGGUGCUAGGUUCCGACCACUGCAAAGAAGGAACAUCGGGCAUCGAACACAGCAGAAGCCGUACAAGGUUGCGAUAGCCCAUGCCAAGCCAAAGGCAAUUCAAGCUGCAGCACCUGCCGUUAACAAUGCGCCCAAGGGUCCGUGCUAUAACUGCCACAAGAUGGGGCACUUUGCUAAGGAAUGUCCCUACCCCAAGAGGCAGCAGCCAACCUAUCCAGCUCGUGUGCACCAUACCUCGAUCGAGGAGAUCCCGGAAGGAGAACCGGUAACAGCUGGUAUGUUCUCUGUCAACCAACAUCUUGCAGUUGUUUUGUUUGAUUCUGGAUCAUCGCAUUCAUUCAUGAGCCAAGCAUUUGCACAAAAGCAUGAUCAGUCAGUUACUGAGUUAGGUUAUGGCUAUCGCAUCAGCUCAGCCGGAGCCGAUGUGUUGACUAAUAAAACAGUAACAGGAGUUACUUUGGAUAUCAGUGGCCGGAGGUAAACCCUAAACCUUGUGGUCAUGCCAGGACUGGUUUUGGAUGUCAUCAUUGGAAUGAACAAGAUGACUGACUGGGGCGCGGUUAUAGAUGCCGGGAAUAGAACUCUUUCCCUUAGAGACCCGCAAGGGAAGGGUGUGCUUCAGGUCAAGCUACCCAGACGGUUGGACUUCGCCAGUCUUUCGUGUGUAGUACAGGUAGUUCCACUAGAACACAUACCCGUGGUAUGUGAGUUCCCUGAUGUGUUUCCUGAGGAUUUACCAGGACUUCCCCCAGAUAGGGAAGUGGAGUUUGCAAUCGAGUUGAUGCCGGGUACAACACCAAUAUCUAGAAGGCUGUAUUGGAUGCCCCCAAACGAACUCGUUGAGUUGGAGAAUCAACUAAAAGAAUUACUGGAUAAAGGGUUCAUCCUGCCAAGCUCGUCGGAAUGGGGUUGUCCAGUGUUGUUUGUGAAAAAGAAGGAUCAAUCGUUGCGCAUGUGCGUGGACUAUCGUCCACUCAAUGCCGUGACAAUCAAGAAUAAGUAUCCCUUGCCAAGGAUUGAUAUCUUAUUUGAUCAGUUGUCCAAGGCAAAAGUGUUUUUCAAGAUAGAUUUGAGGUCUGGGUAUCACCAAAUCAAGAUUCGUCCGCAAGAUAUCCCGAAGACUGCUUUUUCCACCAGAUAUGGGUUGUAUGAGUAUCUUGUCAUGUCCUUUGGAUUGACAAAUGCUCCUGCAUACUUUAUGGAUCUGAUGAAUUCAGUCUUUAUGCCAGAGUUGGAUAAGUUUGUUGUGGUGUUUAUCGAUGAUAUUCUGGUUUAUUCAGAAAAUGAACAAGAUCACGUCGAGCAUCUGAGAAUCGUGCUGACACGAUUACGAGAGCAUCAGUUAUAUGCCAAGUUCAGCAAGUGUGAAUUCUGGUUAAAGAGAGUUCCUUUCCUAGGGCACGUUCUGUGUGAAGAAGGGAUUACUGUGGAUCCAUCAAAAGUGCAGGAAGUCAUGGACUGGAAGGCACCAACUUCUGUCUCGGAAGUUAGAAGUUUUCUUGGUCUGGCCGGGUAUUAUCGUCGUUUCAUACCUGACUUCUCCAAGAUUGCUAAGCCAAAGACAAGUUUGCUACAAAAGGAUCACAAGUUUGUCUGGACGGAAGGGUGUGAGUUAGCCUUCCGCACCUUGUGAAAGUUGCUAACCACUGCUCCUGUUCUGGCACAACCUAAUAUAGAAAAGCCUUUUGAUGUGUUUUGUGACGCAUCGAAGAGUGGCCUGGGGUGUGUGUUGAUGCAAGAUGGCAGGGUGAUAGCUUAUGCUUCCCGACAGUUGAGAAAGCACGAAGUCAACUACCCAACGCACGACCUCGAGUUAGCAGCAGUAGUGCACGCUUUGAAGAUUUGGAGACAUUAUCUGCUGGGAAAUAAGUGUCACAUUUAUACCGAUCAUAAGAGUUUGAAGUACAUCUUCACUCAGUCCGAGCUAAAUAUGAGGCAACGAUGGUGGUUAGAGUUAAUCAAGGACUACGAUUUGGAAGUUCAUUAUCAUCCAGGCAAGGCUAAUGGGGUAGCAGAUGCUUUGAGUCGUAAACCGCACUAUCAAGUGGUUCGACCGUUGUUUGAAAAUGGUUUCAAUCUCAUGCAUCCUGAAGUCUUAUGUCAUAUACAACUCUGUUGUUCACUCGAGAGUCAAGUCAUUGAAGGGCAGAAAUCAGACAAGGGUAUUUUCCACAUCAAAGAAAAGAUCAAAGAUGACCCAAAAACUCAGUUUCGAGUUGAUGAGAAGGGGGUACUGUGGUUUCGACAUUGGUUAGUAGUCCCGAAAGAUCGGGAAUUGAAGAAUCGCAUCAUGGAUGAAGCCCAUCUCUCUAAGCUCUCUAUUCAUCCUGGCAGUAGCAAAAUGUAUCAAGAUCUAAGACCCCACUUUUGGUGGACCAAGAUGAAGAAAGAAAUAGCUGCGUAUGUGGCCCGUUGUGACACAUGUUGCAGAGUUAAGGCCAUCCAUAUGAAACCUGCAGGUCUGUUACAACCGUUAUCCGUUCCAGAGUGGAAAUGGGAAGAGGUCAGUAUGGACUUUAUCACGGGUUUACCAACGACAAGGAAGGGGAAUGACUCGAUUUGGGUAAUCAUAGAUCGACUGACCAAAUCGGCCCAUUUCAUUCCUGUGAUUACCCGCUACCGACCUCCUGAGUAUGCCGAUAUAUAUAUGGCUGAGAUUGUCAAGUUGCAUGGUAUUCCCAAGACCAUCAUAUCAGAUAGAGGACCACAGUUCACCGCUCACUUCUGGGAGCGCAUGCAUAAGAGUUUGGGGACCAGUUUGAUAAGAAGCACGGCAUAUCAUCCCCAGACUUCAGGCCAAACUGAGAGGUUAAAUCAAGUGUUAGAAGAUAUGCUGAGGGCCUAUGUGCUAUCAUCCAAGGGAUCAUGGGAGUCGUGGUUACCUCUGGCUGAAUUCUCCUACAAUAACAGUUAUCAAGAGAGCAUCAAGAUGGCCCCGUUCGAAGCUUUGUAUGGUCGGAGAUGUCGAACUCCGUUGAACUGGGUUGAACCUGGUGAAAGAAGAUACUAUGGUAUCGACUUUGUGAAUGAAGCGGAGAAAAAGGUGCAGAUCAUACAACAACAUAUGCAAGCGGCACAGUCACGACAAAAGAGUUAUGCUAAUAAGAGAAGAAGGCCACUUGAAUUCAAUAUAGGUGACUAUGUGUACCUCAAGGUUACGCCAAUGAAGAAAGUUCAACGUUUCCGAGUUCGAAGCAAGCUUGCACCCAGAUAUGUCGGACCGUACCAAGUGCUAGAGAGGAAAGGCCCAGUGGCCUACAAAAUUCAGUUACCUGAAGAGUUGAGCUCGAUCUUUCCGGUCUUCCAUGUGUCGCAACUGCGGAAAUGUCUGAAGGUACCUGAACAAAGAAUUGAACCUCGAGGAAUCAAGAUAAAAGCAGACCUAGAGUAUAAAGAGUAGCCAGCGGGGAUUGUGGAUACCAAGGAACGAGUAAACCGAAACAAAGUUGUCAGAACUUAUAAAGUGGUGUGGAGUCAUCGUGACGAUAGGGAUGCCACCUGGGAAACAAAGGAUUACUUGAAAACAGUUUAUCCAAAAUUUCAUAAGAAAUGGUUAGUAACCCGAAAUCUCGGGACGAGAUUUCCCUAAGGGGGGAAGGGCUGUAACACCCUCGGUGUUAAGCAUGCACUUAGUCUUAUCAAAGUCAUGCAUAAGCAUUCCCAUCAAGCAUAAGCAUCAUGAGCAUGUCAUUCUUUUCAAAAUAUGAUUUUAUGUGCUUCAUUUCAUGAGUUUUAAAUAUGCUAAAAAUAUGAUACUUGCUUCUAAAAUUUGUGAAAUAUUCAAACUAGGUUGAUUUAUGUGUAAGAAGAAUUUAGAGUAUUUUUGUGUAAUUUUUGGAGCUAUAGAAUUUGAGAAAUGGAAUUUAUACAAAAUAUCCAAAAAGAAUUUAUUUAAAAACCUAGAACUAAGUUUUGAUUUGUAAUUCAAAUUCUAUUUAGAAUUUGGUCUUGCUUAUUAAAGCAAAGUUGUAGAGUUUUUAGUUUGGAACAACUUUGCCUUUGGAGAAAGUGGUGAAAAAGAUUUGAAAAUGGCCAAAAUGAAUUUAGAAGAGAAAUUGAGAAAAGAAAUUCAAAAAAUAUAUAUAGAAAAGGGAAAAGGGGGCGCUAGCAGGCCGCGGCCUCACUUCUGGCCCGCUGGCCGAAGCCGGCUCGGCCCGCCCACGCCUUCCCCUUCCCCUUCCCCUUCCCUGGGCUUGCGCCCGCGUCCGCGCGCGGACGGCCGCUCGGUGCCGCCGUGGCGCGCCGGCAGAGCCUGGCCGCCGUGUGGCGAGCAUGCGGCAGCGAGGACGCGUCCCGGUCGGCCACCAGAAGCGCUCGGCUGCGCCCGCCUCCGCCCCCUCUUCCAUUCGCGCCCCUCGGCCCUCGCUCUCUCGCUCUCUCGCCCUCGGUCUGCACGCGCAGAGCGCCGCCGUCGCCAUUGGAGCACGAGCUCCGCCUCGGCCGUUCCUCCCCCGUGCGUGCUCCAUUCUGCGAUUAGUUCUCCCCCGAGCUCCGCCCUCGCUCCGCCGUUGCGGAACACCCGUCCGAGCGCUCGGUAAGGCACGGUGAGCCCCCGCUCGCUCUCGUUUUCUUCUCCGGCGAGAGCUCCGCCGCCGCGCACGUGAUCCGCGCGUCUCCAUGCCUUCUGGUGCUGCGUAGUUGGCGCAUUGUGCUCGCCUUGGCACCGCAAUGCUCACGAGCCACUCCAGCCACGCUCUACCGGGCCAGCGUCCCGUGCCGACGGUGAGCAGCGCCGCCGCUCCGCCAUGGCCGGUGGCGAGCCUGCUCCGGUCCGUUUUAGGCCACACAAAUGGGUGCGCUAGGUCCGCCGUGAGCCGUAGAGCGUGUAGAGCCGCUUGAUUCGCCGAAAGGGGUCACCAACGGUGAGCUCCGCCCUCCCCUCUGCGUCCUGACCAGUGGGCCCGGCUGGCAGGCGGGUCCGCUCGUCAGCGACCGCGGGUGCACUGCACCGGGUGCACCUAGCCGGUCUCGGGGUGGAUGACAGGUGGGGUCAUCUGACUCGCGUGUCCCGCCUGUCAGUGACUCCGAGGGUUUGAAUCCGAGUGCGCUUAGCCUUUUAGGUUGUUUUCCAUUUUAAAAGUUUUUCCAGAAAAUGGGUUAUGUAUUCAAAAAUCCAUAUCUUGAGGAAUAUAGCUCCAAAAAUUGUGAAAUAAAUUUUGGUGUGUUCCCUAUUUCCAGAUCUAUAGCCUAGUAUGUCUGCAUGUCAUGUUUGAGUAACUUUUGUGUAUGAAAAUAUUUAAUCCAUGUUUUUGCUAAACUUAGAAAAUGCAUAGUAAAUAAAAUAUGGCUCAGAAAAAUGUGAAAUUUGUUUUGUUGGCUCUGCAUGUGUGUUUACUCACUGGGAAAAUAUUGUUACAUAUUAUUUGGUGUAUAAAUUAAUUUAUGGUAAUUUAAAUGCUUGCAUGGCAGUGAUUUAUGAUUUUUAAUAAUUAAUUGGGUCAUGCAAUAAAUCUGGAAAAUUUUGUGGGUAUUUCUUAUGAUAUUAGACAAAUGGUAAAAAUAUGAAAUCUGUUGUUUGACAUUUAUAUCACAGUGGAGUAAUUAUACUUACUUUAUUAAUUAAUCUUCUGAUUUUUGUGGCUCAAAAUAAGUAUCCAAAAAUUAUGAAUGGUUGUGUAUAUAGGUUGAAUGGAAUAAGUUGGGUUUGGUGUAUCUUUGAAGCAUCGUGUGGGUUGCUGGUUGCAUUUGAAAAAUAAUUGUAGAAGAGAAUGCAAUAGAUGUUUGAUUCAGUUGAUUGCUCUUGGAGGUUGUUGACUACCUUGUAAUGAGCAUGACCAAGCGUAUCACUUAUGCCAUGACUCCUUUAGUACCUUCUCAUACAAGCAUCCACUCGGGCACCUCGCACUCCACUCAUAAGCACACAUGCAUCAUACAGGCUCGCAGGAGAACGAAGUGGGACCCGAGGAGCCAGAGGAGAGUCAGGAGCAGGAACCUCCGGAAGCACAGGAACCCAGAGAGGAACUGCAGGAGUGUCCAGAUCACCGACCCAGCACGUUUGAGAAAGGCAAGCCCCGGAGCAUUCUAAGUCUCCCUAUUCUCGCUAACUUAUACAAAGCACUAUACUUGUUCUACUAUAUUGCAUUUAAGUGAUAGGAAUUGCUCGAUACCGUUGAUGCAUAUGUACUCCUUGUUAUCCUUACUCGUUCACCUACCUUGUCCUAUGUAGAUAGGCACGGAGUCUAUGCUUAGCUUGCUUAGUCCGGUAGAAGUCGGGUGAUUCCCUGUCACCUGCGAGAUAUAGGUGGAUACCUGCUUGAUUAAGCAGUAGUUGCUUGGGGAAAGGAAUAACCAAGUGUGGAAUAUAAUUGGAGACCGGGCAGGGUCUUAUGGUGGGUUCACCAUAGUGCCCCUGCCUGUGUCGAUUAAGGACCGAUCGUUGACGGCCCUCUUGUCAUGUUGAACGCAUGCCCCACAUUUAGCUGGAAGGAUAAGUCGUUCCGACCACGAAGCCUGAGCACUAUCCAGGCCGGGAAUCGGCCCGAUGUACGCGCUGUAUUGGUGAUGGUUGAGGAGAACGACGAGGGCGCGGCGCGCAACCUUGGUAUACCUUGGAUACCUCGGUCGCCGGAACGGUCCUCGGGUACGGGCGGUGCCUGUCGAACCCACGAAUUGGUCCUGGAUAGUGCAAUACGGUGAUCUGUAGCUCACUUGAUCAGUGAGUGUGGUUUGUGUGGGGAAUAAACUCGCCAGCUGGUUAGAAAUCGAUUCGAAUCGCCAUCGCUCCUGGAUAGUGAGCACUUGACAUGAGCCCUGUCCUCGUAGUAAGGACUAUGGAACACUUGGGUUAUAAUGAUGAAUGGUUUUAAGAAAUGCUAUGAUGAGGUACUAUCAUAGUCUUAUACUUGCUUGUAAUAGUGCAGGUGCAAACCUAGAUGAUAGGUAAUGAUACUUUCAACUUGAGCAAAUUAAAAGAAGAAAGACUUAUGUAGGUUAUGAUAGUGAAAUACUGCGGUUUUACAAAAUGGUUGUCAGCUACCCCACUAUAUAGCCUUCAUGAUCCUUGAUGAGUCUUUAUUUUAAGUUUAUGACGGGUAAGUCUAGUUGAGUACCUUCUCGUACUCAGGGUUCUACUCCCAUGUUGUUUUGCAGAUGGUCAAAUGUAUUAUGGUUAUUGCAUCCUCUGUCUGUACCCAGCCAUGGGUGAUGACUAGACCAAGGGCGAUGGUCACUCCGUCUUCUCUUUUGCUUUUGUGGGAAUGACCGAACUAUGGCACUGUAUCAGACUAAGUGUGUGUGUUGUAUUUUCGAAUUAUGAAGCUUCUGCUACUUGAAGAACAUGGUAUUGUAAUAACUUUAAGUACUCCGAUGUAUUUUAUAAAUGUUGUAAUCUGGAUGUAUUGUGGAUGGCGACCGCUAAACUUAUUACGAUCUUGGCUGUUGUACGAUGUGUGGUUUGAAAUCCUUCGAGAUUUCACAGACUACCGGGAUUAUAUGGGCUUAAGCCUGAUGGUUUGACUAUGCAAAUAGUCGCUCUUAGGCUUAAUCUCUUAUAAUUUGGUCGGUUCUGUUACAUAGAUGGUAGAAAAUUGCGCGGUGCGUUGAUAUCUAUAUGUAAUCCCAACAUGUGGGCCUUUCUUCCGUAUUUCUUGAUAACCCCCUGCAAAAAUAGACAAACACCAAAACUUGUGGAAUUCUGUUAGAUAAAACCCUAAGUCUAGGUGUUGGUUGCAUUUGGAUCCUUUUCUUUAUUUAUUUGAUGAUUAUAUUUGGUACAUAAGGACCGUCAACAAUGUUCAGGCUGCUGCCGCAGUCCAUCAGCACCUUCGAGAGUCUAGCGUUGAUGAUGAUGGGGUCGACGACGAGCGGGUAGACGCCGGGGGCGACUACCUUGUCAGGGUGGUCGUCUCGAUCGAAGGUGAUGGGGGUGUUUGACCAGUUGAGGUACUGGGGCACUGCCAUCAUUGCCACAAAGACCUCGCGGUGCUCCUUCUUGUGCUGCCUUGCGGUUAGCUGUGUCGAGGGUCCGCCGUAGAUCAUGUAGCAGUCAUGGACGGCUGGGAAACCUUCGUCGUCUUUGUCAUAUCCCUUGUUGCCGCUCUUCUCUUUCUUCUGGUCGUCCUUCUUGAACCCCAGGCCGUCGAAGUGCCUCUUCAGCAUACGGUAGUCCUCGAGCUUGUGGUUCGCCCCUCCCUUAUGGUAAGGGUAGGGCUCCUUUAGCAUUUUGUCGAAGAUAGCCCCCUCUGGGGGUCCUUAUUGACGGUCCUUAAGUAUCAAAUUUAAUUAUCAAAUAAAUAAAGAAAAGGAUCCAAAUGAAAUCAAGAUCCAGACUUAGGGUUUUAUCUGACAGAAUUCCACGAGUUUUGGUGUUUGUCUAUUUCUGCAGGGGGUUAUCAGGAAACAUGGAAGAUAGGCCCACAUGUCAGGAUUAUGUAAAGAUAUUAACGUGCUGCGCAAUUAUCUUACAUCUAGAAGACUCCAGAAGCCACGAGACCGAAGCGGAGGCGAAACGGGGCCAGAGGCAGGGCGCCCGCCCUGUCCUACUGGGUGCCCGCCCACCUCCUGUGUCCAAUCAGGACUCUGCUUUGCGGGAGAUCUCCACCGACCUAAAGGAUGAAUCUAAACCAUACAAUCUAUGUCGGUUUGAUCCAAUGACCCAUAUUCACUUGAAGGGACUAUAAAACCAGACCCUCUGGCCCCUGGAGGAGAGAGCCUCUCAACCCUAAUUCAUUAUUCCAUCAAGGGAGAAGAAGCCUCUGAUCAAGAUUAGAGCCACCACAUCAAUUAGACAUAUAGAUUAGCAUAGCUACAUAGGAUUAGAACUAGAAGGAGUCAAUCUUCGAUUGGUUUCCGGAUCUAUCAAGAGGAUUCUUGGUAAUUCUCUAAUUGUGCUUCUAAUUGCUUUCUAAUUAUCUUUGUUCUUCAAUAUUAUGAAUAUGACUUUGUUCUACUUCAAUAUAUUGCUUAUGACUUUGCUCUACUUGCUUAUAUUCAAGAUUAUAUUGUUCUUAGUUUAUCAUAGUUAUGUACUUGGCUUAGUUAGAUUCGAUCUAUAUACAUGCUUAGGAUUGUAUAGCGUUUAUCCAUCGGAUCCAUGGGUAAAUGAUAGAUAUUGUGUAGGCGUGGUGCUUAUACCGUAUUUAUCUGCGAUUGUACCCAAUAUGACACAUCGUGGGGUAGUUCGUGAUAGUGACAGCUUCAUUGAUUCUUAUAUAGUCCCCCUCUCGUGUAUUGGGCUGGCAGAGCAACAUUAUUACAGGGGAGUGAUUGCUAUGUUUCUCAUAUUCCUUGCUAAUAUCACUAUGCAUGGGCGUAGUCUUGUCUCGCAAUGAUUGCUAAGUAUGCUUGCACUAACUAUGAUAUGCUAGACUAUAGAGUUAAGAAUAACUUAGGGAAUAUUCUUGUAGUUCGUUCUAAUACCAUACUAAUGACUUUCUAGAGUAUCUAAUUGAGGUGCUUAUCAUAUUUAUUAUGUGGCUAGAUCAGAUUAGUUAUCCUUGUCACUAUUAUUAUUUCAUAUAUCCUUUAUGUGACACUUAUCCCUGUAUGAAGAGUUAAAUAUAAUGUUCUCAAUUAUACAUGCAAUGAUAGAUGCUCAAUCUCAUAUUCUAUUCUGUAAUCAAUAGUGAUGAUUGCUAAUCCCUUCUCAGUGGUAAAAAUAUAAAUAACGAUACCUGGAAUAGUUCCCGGUUAAAAUGCUGCAUCGGUAUUAAUCUGUGCGCUUGCAGAUCCCAUUCAUUAUUUAUUUAGAAGAGCAAUUGCAUAUUUCAAUACCGCGUCUCUUAUAUCAUGCUGGGGAUGACAACUUGGCUUAAGUGGUGUGAGGGAUAGGUUUGGCAUUUUUGGCAUCGUUGCUAGAUUUAGAGAACUUAGUCUACUUUUGGUAAUGAUGUUAAGAAUACCCAACAAGCAUUUUUUGGCGCUGUUGCCGGGGAAGGUUGAUUACUAAUCAAGAAUGGAAUAAAGGAUUUUGAGUUAUCAUUCGCAUCACUAAUAUGAUUGAGCUUAUCUAUUCUCUCAUACAGUUUUACCCCGAUAUUUUUCUAUUUUAUCUUAUGCAGGGGAAUGUAUGAAUAGAAGACAUCUUCCAGGAAAUUGUUGAUAAUCCCGAAGCAUUAUUCAAAAAGACAAGGGCCAAGCUCAAGAAGAAAUCAUCAACACUUCACGAAGAAGCUUCAUCCAAUCAAGAAGAUCACCGGAACUUGUCUUCAGAGUUCGAAGCCAUGGCGAACAAAUCGAAACGCGAGUUCUCAGCUCCCACUUCGGAUAACAUCCGCACUGGACCUGCUGCAGAGAUUGAUGGCGACUUUGAGCUCAAGCCUGGACUUAUCAACAUGGUGCAAUCCAACUAGUUCUGUGGGAAGGCACACGAAGAUGCUAGUGCUCAUUUACAACACUUCCUGGAGAUUUGCAACACAUUCACCAUAUCAGGAGUUUCCAAAGAUGCUAUACUACUUCGCCUCUUCCCAUUCUCACUGUUAGGAAGAGCGAAGCAGUGGUUCUACGCUACAAAGGAGAAGAAUACUACGUGGGCACUCUGCUCAACAAACUUCCUAGCAAAGUUCUUUCCCAUGGGCAAGACCAAUGCUCUCCGUGGGAAGAUUACAAGUUUUCAGCAACAAAAUGAUGAAUCCGUCCCAGAAGCAUGGGAGUGCUUUCAAGACUACAUCCUAGAAUGUCCCCAUCUUGGAAUGGAGAGUUGGCUAUUGAUGCAGACGUUCUAUCAUGGCCUCGGCAACAGUGCCCGAGAGACCAUGGAUGCUGCAGCUGGAGGAGCAUUCUUAUCACUUACUAUACCACAAGCCACAGCUCUUGUGGAGAAGAUGGCGUCCAACCAAGGCUGGAAUGAAGAGAGGACCCAGACAUGCAAGAGAGGUGGAGGUAUGCAUCAGCUGAAGGAGGUAGACAUGCUGUCUGCAAAGCUAGACCUGCUCAUGAAGAAGCUCGACGAUAGAGCCGGAGACAAGAAAGAAGUUAUGCACAUCUACGACUCUCACAUGACUUGUGAGGAGUGUGGAGACACUGGACACUCAGGCAACCACUGCCCUGAGAUACUUGAGGAUGUGAACUACAUCAACAACAACAACAACAACUACUACAACCGUCCUCAACAAAAUCAAGGUUGGAAUCAACAGAGGCCUAACUACUCAGGUAGUUAUCAAGGUAAUAAUUCUUACAACAAUAAUAAUAAUUUUCCACCUCUGAGAGAGUUAGUGUCUAAUCAAGGAAAGCUAAUGGAUAACCUAUUUAAGAAAUUGGCAUCUAAUGAUAAAAUGCUAGAAAAUAUAAAUAAUAGAAUGGAUAAUUUUUCUACUGCCAUCAAGAAUCAAAUUAGCUUUAAUAAAAUGAUUGAAUCUCAGUUAAAUCAAAUAGUUGCUGCUGUUCCUACUACUAACCCCGGUAUACCAUCACAACCGGAAGGAUUAGAAUCUGCAAAUCUUGUAGACAUGUUUGAUGCAGGUAAUUAUAGUAACCCCGUCAAUGAAUUCUCUACUAACCUUAUGCCGGUCAAGAGAGGCGAUCCAGGACGCCCCGUCAUCCCGAUCUCCAUCGGCAUGGUGGAUGUCCCAGAAGCACUCUGCGACUUUGGCUCCAGCGUCAACAUUAUACCCAGGGUACUCUAUGAAAAAUUCUUUACAUAUCCUUUAUUAGAAACAACCAUGUGUUUGCAGUUUGCACAUCAGACGAUAACUUUUCCAAAAGGAAUAGUGAAGAACCUUUGUGUACGAGUUGGUACCUUAUAUGCCCCAGCAGACUUCGUAGUGGUAGAGACCGGAAGUGAUGAGAGAGCACCUGUCAUCCUAGGGAGGCCAUUCUUGAACACCACGGGACCUAUCAUCUACGCCAGUGCUGCCAAGAUCAGUUUCUACGUCAAAGGGAAGAAGGAGACAUUUUUCUUCAAGAACAAGACUACACAAAUUCAAGAUCAAUCGAGACGUAAAUCAAGGAAGAGGACCAACAGGAGAAACAAGAACAAACAAGUGUGGACUGAGUCAGCUAAGAUGGUCACUGUAGUCCAUGGAGGCCAAGAUCACCAACUUAAGUCACCAUUUUUGACCAAGAAGGACGACCCAGGAAUGCCAAGCAUUUAAUGCUCCAUAAAUGGAUACAACUUCUACAAGACAUUUUGUGACACCGGAUCGGGCGUCAACAUAAUGGCCGCAGUCACCUAUCGGCUCUUAUUCGGAACCAUGCCACUAAAACCAACAUACAUUCAACUCCAGAUGGCAGAUCAGACAUUUCGAGAAGUUAAAGGAACAGUAACGGAUGUCCCAGUCAAAAUAGACGAUCAUUUUGUCUACACAGACUUUUAAGUUAUUGACAUGGGAGAAGACGAGUAUGAUCCACCCAUCAUCCUUGGAAGAUCGUUUCUCAGCACCGUUAAAGCAAUUAUCUACAUUGGAACCGGAGAAGUCCAUAUGCACUUCCCCUCAGAGAAGGUAUGCCGUUAUUUUACUGACCCUAACUAUAUCGUUGAAGAAUCUAAGCAGGUAAGAAAGCGACGCAACCGCAACCAGAGGAGGCAGAUCAUCAGGGACGGAUGGGCAGACUACGAAGGAGAAGUUGUAAGGUCAGAAGACGUAGAGUUUAAAUAGAAUUAUCCAGAGGAGACCGUAGCACCGAGUCAGGUAUGGAAAGAGAAGAUAACUAUACAUGAAGAGGAGGCACUGCCGGAAGUACCGACUCCGCCAACCAACGAAUCCCAUGACAAUUGAGAAAAUGGAGAGUCCCGUUCGGAGGACUUAAAAACACCGAACGCCUUGCCAAGAGGUAAACUUGGUAGUUAUCCUUUCCCUUUUAAUUAUUUCAACUAGUUUACUUUGUUAAUCAUGUUCGUGCUAUCUUAAAAAGAAAAUAAAAAUAUGAAAAACAGUAAGCUAUACGAGUGGCAUAAAACCCAUAAGUACAUUCACUGUGGUGGCAUAAAAAUAAAAUAAAAAUUUCUUUUCUGCUUUAUAAAAUAAAAAUAUAAAAACAGGGAGUAAUAAUUAUUAAGGAGUCUCAACAUGAUAAAGGCUAGAUAUUUAUGCUAACACUUAAUCAGUUCCACAAGCUUUGUUGUCUAUUUGAGCUCCACAGAAUUUAAGAAUCAGGAAGACUGGCAGACGGAGGACAUUCUUAUCGCUGUCAGAAUGCUGCUGACUUUCAAAUACACCUCUGCUGCCUGCUAGCUACAUCAAGAGAAAUUACGUCAAAAUUCAGCUUGGGGGAGAGCACCCCAUUUAUCUCGAUAAGUAUUUCUAUCUAUCUAUCUUUAUACUUAUAUUAUAUUUGAAUAUAAAUAUAAAUAACUAUGGGAAAAUCAAAUAAAGAUCUUGUGCUUAUAUAUAACUUUUGCUAGUGUGUUUAAUAAAUAAAUAAAGUGGCUAUGCUAAUCUGUAUCUAAAUAAAACUCUAGCAUGGAUAUGACGAAUAGUUGCUCUGCCUAAUUUGCACAUUUGAAGUUCUCUCUCAAGUUUAGACAUAACUGUUAUAAUUUAAGGCUUGCUCUAGACAUAAACUUGUGGGAUGAAAACUUGAUCUGAAGUCUAAGUUGUUAACGGAUACGAUAUGGGAAGGUUGAGCUGCUGUUUAUCUGUUCCUAGAGAUGCUAGAAUUCUGGAGAAUUUUAUCUUUGAAAAUCUUUAAAAUGUUGCAUGAUGUGUUCCUGAAUGAUGAGAGUUUAAAUUCCUACCACAGCCAUAUAUACAUGCUUGCUAGACUUUGAGCCACACAUUUACUAUUUACUACUUAUGAGCAUUGAGUGUGGUCAAGCUGUGUAGACCCUUAGGAGCUUGUCAUGUGGUUAAAUCAAGAUUCACUUGCACGUUCACUCAUAUAUGCUACUUCUAUUCCAGAAGUACCAUCCACAUAUACCCAUCCAUUUCCAUCUCCAGAACCACCCAAAAAUAUUCUACUCCUAAUUCGGGAGAGAAUAAACAAAAAUAUUCAUGUUUUUCUUUGUGAAAUAAAUGCUCAAGUUAUCUUGUUACUACCACUUGCUAUAUUAUCUCAAGAGAUGAGUGCUCUAAAAAAAGAGAGAAAAAAAAUAAAAAUACGAGGAAAUAAAAAGGAGCAAGUGCUCGGAACCUCGAAAGAAAAGAAAAAGUGAGACGAGAGGUAAAAAUGGACAAGUGUCCGAUAGUAGAAUUAGGGGUACAAGAUACCCACCUGAGAGAAAAGAAAAAGAAGAGCAUCUCAUUCUCCUCAUAAAGUUUCAAAAAGCAAGGAAGGUAUGUAUCCCCUCAAAGAGCAAAAGUAGAAUUAGACUUCCACCAUUGUUAUCACCAUCAUCACCAUACACCAUUCAUUCACCACACAUGCACAUUUUGAUUUGACUUAUUGAUUUGUUUCUUUGGAUCCAUGGUUUGACUAUACAAUAAAUGUCUUGUAAGUAUGUAUAUUUUAUCUCCCACCUAUGAGCUCCAGAUAUAAAAGCCUUAUUAGAGUAGGGUGAGAGAGAAGACAAUGUCAUUAUGCUUCAUACCACAAAUACCACAUAUUUUGAGAGAAGGCAUAUACCAUCACUGCCUUGGUAAGGAUCCAGAAAUACCACAAAAGAGAGACCUGAGAGAAUCAUACAAGGAAUCUCUGAGUUUUAUUUGAAAAUCUGCAAAAACCCCAGAGCUAUAGCUGAUCAAGAAUAAGAGACAUGGCACUUGGCUAGACUGUUCUAUCUUUUAACCUCUCAAGACUGAAGUGACGGUUACAAGUCCCAUGGUGUAGGUAAAGUAAGUAAGUUUUAAGUCUUGACAGUUUACUCUAACUCAGAGAUGAGAUCUUAUUUAAAAGCAUGUGUAACGUCAAAAUUUUUAAAGAUAUUGCAACAACUUAUGAUCCAUAGCUGAGUCUAUCCUUGCUCAGGGACGAGCAAGAGGUAAGCUUGGGGCAGUUUGUUGACGGUCCUUAAGUAUCAAAUUUAAUUAUCAAAUAAAUAAAGAAAAGGAUCCAAAUGAAAUCAAGAUCCAGACUUAGGGUUUUAUCUGACAGAAUUCCACGAGUUUUGGUGUUUGUCUAUUUCUGCAGGGGGUUAUCAGAAAACAUGGAAGAAAGGCCCACAUGUCAGGAUUAUGUAAAGAUAUUAACGUGCUGCGCAAUUAUCUUACAUCUAGAAGACUCCAGAAGCCACGAGACCGAAGCGGAAGCGAAACGGGGCCAGAGGCAGGGCGCCCGCCCUGUCAUACUGGGCGCCCGCCCACCUCCUAUGUCCAAUCAGGACUCUACUUUGCGGGAGAUCUCCACCGACCUAAAGGAUGAAUCUAAACCAUACAAUCUAUGUCGGUUUGAUCCAAUGGCCCAUAUUCACUUGAAGGGACUAUAAAACCAGACCCCCUGGCCCCUGGAGGAGAGAGCCUCUCAACCCUAAUUCAUUAUUCCAUCAAGGGAGAAGAAGCCUCUGAUCAAGAUUAGAGCCACGACAUCAAUUAGACAUCUAGAUUAGCAUAGCUACAUAGGAUUAGAACAAGGAGUCAAUCUUCGAUUGGUUUCCGGAUCUGUCAAGAGGAUUCUUGGUAAUUCUCUAAUUGUGCUUCUAAUUGCUUUCUAAUUAUCUUUGUUCUUCAAUAUUAUGAAUAUGACUUUGUUCUACUUCAAUAUAUUGCUUAUGACUUUGCUCUACUUGCUUAUAUUCAAGAUUAUAUUGUUCUUAGUUUAUCAUAGUUAUGUACUUGGCUUAGUUAGAUUCGAUCUAUAUACAUGCUUAGGAUCAUAUAGCGUUUAUCCAUCGGAUCCAUGGGUAAAUGAUAGAUAUUGUGUAGGCGUGGUGCUUAUACCGUAUUUAUCUGUGAUUGUACCCAAUAUGCCACAUCGUGGGGUAGUUCGUGAUAGUGAUAGCUUCAUUGAUUCUUAUAUAGUCCCCCUCUCGUGUAUUGGGCUGGUAGAGCAACAUUAUUACAGGGGAGUGAUUGCUAUGUUUCUCAUAUUCCUUGCUAAUAUCACUAUGCAUGGGCGUAGUCUUGUCUCGCAAUGAUUGCUAAGUAUGCUUGCACUAACUAUGAUAUGCUAGACUAUAUAGUUAAGAAUAACUUAGGGAAUAUUCUUGUAGUUCGUUCUAAUACCAUGCUAAUGACUUUCUAGAGUAUCUAAUUGAGGUGCUUAUCAUAUUUAUUACGUGGCUAGAUCAGAUUAGUUAUCCUUGUCACUAUUAUUAUUUCAUAUAUCCUUUAUGUGACACUUAUCCCUGUAUGAAGAGUUAAAUAUAAUGUUCUCAAUUAUACAUACAAUGAUAGAUGCUCAAUCUCAUAUUCUAUUCUAUAAUCAAUAGUGAUGAUUGCUAAUCCGUUCCCAGUGGUAAAAAUAUAAAUAACGAUACCUGGAAUACUUCCCGGUUAAAAUGCUGCAUCGGUAUUAAUCUGUGCGCUUGCAGAUCCCAUUCAUUAUUUAUUUAGAAGAGCAAUUGCAUAUUUCAAUACCGUGUCUCUUAUAUCAUGCUGGGGAUGACAACUUGGCUUAAGUGGUGUGAGGGAUAGGUUUGGCAUUUUUGGCAUCGUUGCUAGAUUUAGAGAACUUAGUCUACUUUUGGUAAUGAUGUUAAGAAUACCCAACAGUCCUCAAGGCCUUUUGCACUCCAUGGCGGCGACGAGAUCGUCAUCGAGGUCCUCCCGCUAGAAAGGUCGUGCUUUCUUCUUCUUUUUGUUCUUCUUGGGUCCUCGACUGGGGCCCUCAUCAUCAUCGGCGGGCGACUUGCCUUUGCCUCCUUUGCAGCUGAAGAAGGCGCCGACCGCUUCUUCCCCUACAGCGUAGUUUGCCACUACGUCCAUCAGCUCGUCGACGGUCUGAGGAUGAUUCCGGCCUAACUCCCGCUCCAAAUCUCGACUGGUGAUGCCUGAGACAAAGGCCAGGAUGAUGUCGUGAUCUGGGAUGUGCGUCAGCUCGGUGCGCUACUCAGAGAAGCGUCGAGCAUACUCUCAGAGAGUUUCUCCUGACUUCAGCUUGCACUUGCUGAGGUCCCACGAGUUGCCAGGCCGUACGUAGGUCCCUUUGAAGUUGCCCUCGAAUACUCCGACCAAAUCGACCCAAUCGUGAAUUUGAUUGACCAGGAGUUCCUCGAGCCAUCUGCGGGUGGUGUCGGAGAGAAAAAGCGGCAACUGCUGGAUGAUGGCUCGAUCGUCUCCUCGAGCACCACCCAACUGACAGGCUAACAGGAAGUCUACCAACCAUAGCUCUGGCUUGGUCUCGUCGUUGUAUUUAGCGAUGCUGGUCGGGGUCGAAACGGGCUGGGCAGCGGCAUGCUGCGGAUUGCCCUGCUGAACACCCGAGGGCCCGGCGGUUCCGGAGCCAUCCGGUCCUCGUCGCUGCGUAUCUCCCACCGCGGUGGGUGCUGUAACCGCGCUCUUCUGCGUCCCCAUACCGACAGCGACGAUUCUCAUCGAUGUCGUGUCGUGUCGUCGCUGAUUGCCGACGGGAUGGUUGAGGAUGAGUGAUGUCUUCUUCCCUCGAGGGGGCGGCUGCUGAUGGACCGACACGUCCUUUUCGUUUUGGGCCAGCUCAUCACGCUUCUUCGUGGCUGCUCCUCGACGUCGAGAGGCUGAGCUCUCGGCCUGCUGAACUGCCGCCACUUGGAGCAGAGUCUGCACCUCGUCUCGAAUGCGUCGCGCUUGGGAGUUCGACGGUGCGGGCAUAUUGCGUAGCAGCAUUAUUGCCGCCACGACGUUCUGGCCCGCUCAAGGGAAACGGCUGACGGGCUGCUCAGGCUCCCCGUCUCUGACGAUCUAUCGAUGUACUUCUCGAGCCCGUCUGUGGACACUUCCGCCAGGCGGGUAUGGCUGGUCGUGCUCGAGGAUCUGUUCAAGCAGGGCAAGGCGCUCGCGAUCUUCAUCGAGCUUCACUUUGUGCUCUCGUAGCUGCGCAAGUUGCACGGCUCUGUCUUCUUGUGGAGGGGGGUCGACCUGACCGUCGUUUCUAGGCGUCCUAGGGACUUCCCUUGCUCCAGGGGCUCGACCACCGGCAACGGCGUAUUGUGUCUCGUCGGUAGUUUGCACCGCCCCAUCGAUAUGGAAGCAUUCCCUAGUAGGGUCGUAGCUAUCGGACUCAGAGUCGGAGUCCGGCUCGGCGGCGUAGAAGCAUCCGCGUCCUUCCUCCAGCAGCCUUUGCCUGAGUGAGGUGAUCGUGUACCGCCUAGGACCUAGGCAGCGGAGGCCUCGUACCUGAGAGAAAUCCUGCAGCUCGGACGUCCGUUGCCGUGCUCCAGUGUCACGUGGGAGGACCAUUGGUCUUUCCACGUACGUCUGGGCGUUUGGACAUAUCGUCCUGGCAAGUGACGCCGCGGCAUUGUCCAGACUGAACGGUAGCGCUCUUCUUGGGGCGAACAACCCGUGUGGAAGUAGCGCCGUGGCAGGCAAGAGCGCGCAGGGCGCGCCGUCUCCCAACGUUGUCGUGCGAUCCUCAUGGCGUUGGGCCGUCAUUCCCGCGGUUUCGGCGUGCGGGGCUGUCGGCUCCUGUGCCACCUCCUACCUGGCACGAACUGGCGGUCGUGAUGAGGCAGAGGGUUGAUGGUGGCGCUGUCCACGUCUCUUCUUGGGCGGGGAGGUGUGGUGGCGAGGUCGUCUCGGAGCCCUCAAUCGUGCUGGCGCAAUGCGAGCUCCUCCCGAUCCUUUGACCGAGAGCAGGAUCAUGUCAUAGCCAAAACCGGUAGACAUGAACUCGAGGCUCCCGAACCAAAUCACCGUGCAGCGUGGAAUCGGCGAAACGAGAGUGGCCAUCUGGAAAGGAAUGGGAAAUCGGUGAAAAACACGGAGGACCCCUACCUGGCGCGCCAACUGUCGGUGUUUUCCCCCCGGGGGGUCACACCAACAAGUAAAACUUGUGUGCGUGCUCCCCUUUCCAGAUGGUGAUGCAAGAAAAGACACAAAGAUUUAUCCUAGUUUGGGCAAGAGAAGGCCCUACGUCCAGCGGGGGGGGAGUGUUUGUAUUAUCGCGCACCUAAGUGCUUGUACAGGGGUGAAUACAAGUUUGUGUGGAUGGAAAGAUGAAGUAUGGUAGCUCUUCUAUGUAUGUCUUGUGUUGUGUAUCCUCUCCUAGGCUUCCCCUUUUAUAGUUUCAAGGGGAGGCCUAGGUUACAUGCAUAGGCGACAGAGUAGGGGUCGAUAGGGGUGCAGCGUGCUGACCUACUCGAGGCCUCCGUACCGGCGUGGCCUCGAGCUAUCUUGUCUUGGUACCUUGAUGAUGAUUACGCAUGCCCCUGAAUCCCACUCCUGCACGCCGUCCUGGACUGGUUCAUCUGUUGCACGCUUGUACGUCGUGGUAGCAGCUACGUCGGAGUGGUUGAGGUGUUGUCAUUCGUCGCCCGAUCCUUCCCUAGGAAGGAAACGUGCCAACUCGAGGGUCAGGUGUCGUGCAACGCCUUGCUGGCCAGAGCGCUGACUUUGGGAGUCUCGAGGGGGUCUUGACUGGACGUUCCGACCCACUCCCUGUGCCCUGCCACGUUCUGGCUUGUUUGGUGGGGAAGGCUGCAAAAAGAAUGACAGGACGGGUGCUUGAUCCCUAUCACGCUUCCCGUGACUGACGGGUUAGGUGAGAACGCGGCAGGCGCAUUAAAUGCCCUGGUUCCCGUGCCCGCGUUAGGCAGCGGGUGGCGUCCUUGCGCUCGAGGCCUUUUGAUUCAUACGAGCCUGUUUCCGUAUUCGAGGGUCGUCGGUAGUCGAGCCUCAGACAAUUCACACGAUGCUCUUUCCGUGUUCGAGGCUACGGUCGUCGAGGACCGUGCGUACAACUGGGGGGCGUCGAGUCAGAGGCCUCGACUUUCGUACGGAUGCUCUUGCUAUGUACAUCAGUUAGGGUACCCCUUACUGAUAUCCUCGACACAUAUCAUAUCUGUUAACGACUUAGACUUUAGAUCAAGUACUCUUCCCACAAGUUUAGGUUUAGAACAAAUCUUAAUUCAUAACAGUCAAGCCUAAACUUGAGAGAGAUUUCAAUUUUGAGAACUAGUCAUGGCAGAGCAACUAUUCAUCAUUUCCAUGUGAGAGCUUAUCAUGUGGGUUCAUAGCAAACUUUAUUUAUUGUUUUUUUAGCAAACUAAGCAAAGAUAUAUAUAUAUAUAAGCAUAAAAUCUUUAUUUGGGUUUUUAUGAUUAUGCAUCUUUUUAUUAUUUGAGUAAAGUAUAAACGUGAGUAGAACUACUUAGCUGGAUAAAUGGGGGUGCUCUCCCCCAAGCUAGAUUUUGACGUAAUUUCUUCUGAUGUAGCUAGCAGGUGGUGGAGGUGUAUUUGAAUGUCGGCAGCACCCUGACAGCGAUUAGGAUGUCCUCCGUCUGCUAGUCUUCUUUGAUCCUUGAAUUCUGUGGAGCUCAAAUAGACAACAAAGCUUUGUGGAACUAGUUAAGUGUUAGCAUAUAUAUCUAGCCUUUAUCAUGUUGAGCCUCCUCAAUAAAUGUUACUCUCUUUGGUAGGAUCAUA
rnacentral:lncRNA from 1 species